rnacentral:misc_RNA from 1 species
GAUGAAGAACGUAGCGAAAUGCGAUACGUAAUGUGAAUUGCAGAAUUCAGUGAAUCAUCGAAUCUUUGAACGCAUAUUGCGCUCUUUGGUAUUCCGAAGAGCAUGCUUGUUUGAGUAUCAGUAAACACCUCAAAGCUUUUGGAUUUUUUAAUCGAAAAGCUUUGGACUUGAGCAAUCCCAACACCAAUCUUUUUGAGAUCGGUGGCGGGUUGCUUGAAAUGCAGGUGCAGCUGGACAUUCUCCUGAGCUAAAAGCAUAUUCAUUUAGUCCCGUCAAACGGAUUAUUACUUUUGCUGCAGCUAACAUAAAGGGAGUUUGACCGUAUUGACUGACUGAUGCAGGAUUUCACAAGGGUCGGCAACGAUUCUUGUUAAACUCGAUCUCAAAUCAAGUAAGACUACCCGCUGAACUUAAGCAUAUCAAUAAGCGGAGGA